AGGAAGGAGUAAACAAAGAAGGAAGCAGCCGAACCUCGGGCGAACGACGUGUGUGAAGAACGGCCGCGGCCGAGGGUGCUCCGGGACGCGGAGAGAGUCGGAGGGCGCCGGCGGGAGACCGAGAGUCCAGGGUCUGCUAGUCGCUGCUGGUGAAUAAAAGGGAGAGAGGAGGCGCCUCUUACUGCUCUGCCGGAAAACUGCAGCCUGCGCUCCUGAUUGGACUCACCGAGCCCUAAACAAACAGCGCUCGCCGAAGGGUGCCAGGCUGUGGGUCGGAACUGCUCUCUACAAGCUGCUGGGUGCGGAGCGGGCCAAGGACUGGAAAUGAACACUGGCGGGGUUAUCAGUGCGGAUCUGUCAGCAGCGAGUGGCGCACUGCUUGUCCCAGGCAGCCGCAGUGGUGUACUUCUUAUUCCUUCGGGCCCACAAGGAGGAUUUCUCCCGACAAGCUGGACACUGGAAGGCUGCGGGAAGGGAAUUGAACAGGAGAAACACUCUUAUGGGAGUGGAUUUUUACACGCACACCCCACGUAAAUUAAAUCACUGUGGCUUCAGUGUGACUGCCUUUCUGAAAGGCUGAAAGUAGAAAACUCUGGAAUGGAGAGGCUGGCAACUGGAGCAGGAUUCGAAGGCUUUAAAUUUUAACCCGCGUUCGAUCGAAAGUUACUACCACAAGAGACUGGCACCGGCCGGCCCAAUUCCCACCAUGGCUUCCAGAGGCUUGCUUUGGGGUUGUCCGCUUGUUAUCUGGGCCACCCAAUGACCGACGAAAGAUCUUCCCUCACCACGUCUCCCAUCACCGCUUUAAACCAAAUAAAUUUAGCUAUUAAGGGCCAAGAUGUCUGACAAAAGAUCGAAAGGUGUCUCUCUGGGAUCCCUUAAAGAAGCCGAGAAGCUGGCUUAGCUCUCGAAUCCCGAUAAAGAAAUUCCAUGCCGGCGCCGGCCUCCCUCCGCAGCCUGCUUGCUUCAGACACCCUGAGAUCACUACCUCAAAGGUCCAUUGCGACCUGUGACUGCAACUGAGGCACUGUCUCUGAGUCUCCUGGCCUGGGGAUGUUCGGGCAUUGGAACUAACCCUAACCCUGAUGCAAAAGCUGUGGUACCUAAACAUUCUGCCUGGCUUGCAGAAGAACCAAGGUCAAUAAAACAAACCCAAAGUGCCAUUUAAAUUUGCACCCCCCCCCCCAUCCUUUUUUCCUUUAAGACAAAGCCUUCUAUUAUAUAUGACAGGCUGGCCUGGAGCUCAUGAUCCCCCAAGCCUCAGGCCUGUAGAGCAUUGAAAAUUACAAGUGCUUGUAGCCUUGUCCUACCUUCCUCCCCACCCCCACAAUAACUAAUAAAGGCAAAACCAAGUCAUACCAGUCUACCUUUUCCAUGGUUCAUUUUAGG
ensembl:lncRNA